CCUACGGGAGGCUGCAGUGGGGAAUAUUGCGCAAUGGGCGCAAGCCUGACCCAGCAACGCCGCGUGAAGGAAGAAGGCUUUCGGGUCGUAAACCUCUUUCGUCAGGGAAGAGUAGAAGACGGUACCUGACGAAUAAGCCACGGCUAACUACGUGCGAGCAGCCGCGGUAAUACGUAGGUGGCAAGCGUUGUCCGGAUUUACUGGGUGGAAAGGGCGCGUAGGCGGGUUGACAAGUCAGAUGUGAAAUCCUGCGGCUUAACCGCAGAACUGCAUUUGAAACUGUGGAUCUUGAGUACUGGAGAGGCAGGCGGAAUUCCUGGUGUAGCGGUGAAAUGCGUAGAUAUUAGGAGGAACACCAGUGGCGAAGGCGGUCUGCUGGACAGCAACUGACGGUGAGGCGCGAAAGCGUGGGGAGCAAACAGGAUUAGAUACCCCUGUAGUC
rnacentral:rRNA from 1 species